GUAACUCAGUGGAAGAGUAUCUCCUUGGUAAGGAGAAAGUCAUGAGUUCAAUUCUCAUCAAGGGCUUGCGCUUU
rnacentral:tRNA from 1 species